rnacentral:lncRNA from 1 species
AAGCAGUCAAUGGCGCAGCGCGCCCGCACGAUGGCGCUCUACAACCCCAUCCCCGUCCGGCAGAACUGCCUCACCGUCAACCGCUCUCUGUUCCUCUUCAGCGAAGACAACGCGGUGAGGAAAUACGCCAAAAGGAUCACCGAGUGGCCUCCGUUUGAAUACAUGAUUUUAGCCACCAUCAUCGCCAACUGCAUCGUGUUGGCCCUGGAGCAGCACCUCCCCGACGACGACAAAAC